CACGUAGGGUGCGAGCGUUGUCCGGAAUCAUUGGGCGUAAAGAGCGUGUAGGCGGCCCGGUAAGUCCGCUGUGAAAGUCGGGGGCUCAACCCUCGAAUGCCGGUGGAUACUGUCGGGCUAGAGUGCGGAAGAGGCGAGUGGAAUUCCUGGUGUAGCGGUGAAAUGCGCAGAUAUCAAGAGGAACACCGAUUGCGAAGGCAGCUCGCUGGGACGUCACUGACGCUGAGACGCGAAAGCGUGGGGAGCAAACAGG
rnacentral:rRNA from 1 species